rnacentral:rRNA from 1 species
GAUGAACGCUAGCGGCAGGCCUAACACAUGCAAGUCGAGGGGCAGCACAGAAACAGCAAUGUUUUGGUGGCGACCGGCGGACGGGUGCGUAACGCGUAUGCAACCUACCUUUAACAGGGGGAUAACGGAGAGAAAUUUCCACUAAUACCCCAUAACAUCGAUCAAGGCAUCUUGAUUGGUUGAAAACUCCGGUGGUUAAAGAUGGGCAUGCGUUGUAUUAGGUAGUUGGUGAGGUAAUGGCUCACCAAGCCUACGAUACAUAGGGGGACUGAGAGGUUAGCCCCCCACACUGGUACUGAGACACGGACCAGACUCCUACGGGAGGCAGCAGUGAGGAAUAUUGGUCAAUGGGGGCAACCCUGAACCAGCCAUGCCGCGUGCAGGAAGACGGCUCUAUGAGUUGUAAACUGCUUUUAAACAGGGAUAAAGCACAGUAUGUAUACUGUGUUGAAGGUACUGUAAGAAUAAGGAUCGGCUAACUCCGUGCCAGCCGCCGCAGUAA